CCUACGGGAGGCAGCAGUAAGGAAUAUUGGUCAAUGGACGCAAGUCUGAACCAGCCAUGCCGCGUGCAGGAUGACGGCCCUCUGGGUUGUAAACUGCUUUUAUACGGGAAGAAACCUCUGGUUGCGAUCAGAGCUGACGGUACCGUAAGAAUAAGGACCGGCUAACUUCGUGCCAGCAGCCGCGGUAAUACGAAGGGUCCAAGCGUUAUCCGGAUUUAUUGGGUUUAAAGGGUGCGUAGGCGGCUUAUUAAGUCAGUGGUGAAAGACUUCAGCUUAACUGAAGAACUGCCAUUGAUACUGAUGAGCUUGAAUAUACUUGAGGUGGGCGGAAUGUGUCAUGUAGCGGUGAAAUGCUUAGAUAUGACACAGAACACCGAUUGCGAAGGCAGCUCGCUAAAGUAUGAUUGACGCUGAUGCACGAAGACGGUGGGGAGGACGAAACAAGGAGUUAGUAUACCCUACGGUAGUACCACCGACCCUAACCGUUACGUAUAACUACGUAUGUGUGCGAUAUAC
rnacentral:rRNA from 1 species